rnacentral:rRNA from 1 species
ACGGGUGAGUAACGCGUGGGAAUCUACCGUGCCCUACGGAAUAGCUCCGGGAAACUGGAAUUAAUACCGUAUACGCCCUACGGGGGAAAGAUUUAUCGGGGUAUGAUGAGCCCGCGUUGGAUUAGCUAGUUGGUGGGGUAAAGGCCUACCAAGGCGACGAUCCAUAGCUGGUCUGAGAGGAUGAUCAGCCACAUUGGGACUGAGACACGGCCCAAACUCCUACGGGAGGCAGCAGUGGGGAAUAUUGGACAAUGGGCGCAAGCCUGAUCCAGCCAUGCCGCGUGAGUGAUGAAGGUCUUAGGAUUGUAAAGCUCUUUCACCGAUGAAGAUAAUGACGGUAGUCGGAGAAGAAGCCCCGGCUAACUUCGUGCCAGCAGCCGCGGUAAUACGAAGGGGGCUAGCGUUGUUCGGAAUUACUGGGCGUAAAGCGCACGUAGGCGGAUAUUUAAGUCAGGGGUGAAAUCCCAGAGCUCAACUCUGGAACUGCCUUUGAUACUGGGUAUCUUGAGUAUGGAAGAGGUGAGUGGAAUUCCGAGUGUAGAGGUGAAAUUCGUAGA